GCGUGUGUGUUAUUUGUUAUGUGUUUUGCUAGUGCUCUGUGUCAUGUGAUGUGUGUCUGUGGUUAGUGUUUCUGAGAGAGAAAUUAGCAUUUAAGUUUGAAAGUGCCAAGAAAAGAUGCUAUGAAAGGUAUCAUGUGACGAAGGUGCUUCCUUAUUUUUCUCUGAACCUGGCUACGGUGUCGGAUUACGGCUCAUAUCAAUAUAGAUAAUAAUUGACUGGGCCAGAAAUCAUCAUCUGAGAAUAUGGAGAGCCAGAGCUUGCUGGACGACUCUCUGGUCACUGACUCCCAGCCAGGCACUACUGAUGCCGGCAUCCCAAUGUGCCCUGCCUACCAAAUCGCUCCGGGGCCGGCCCAGGCACCGCCCACUCGUCUGGUGGCCGCCAGCGACGACAGCGACACCGACUACGAAGGCGAAACCGAGCAGCAGCCGCUGCCUCUGCGUUCGGACAGCAACGCAUCCGUCAGCACCGAUAAAUGCAGCUCCCGUGCUAUCGUGAAUGCCACCUUUGAUGACGAUAGCGACACGGACAUGUCUGACGCAGAAGAUUGGGCGAUCCGGCCGACUCGGCCCUCACCGACCGUCAGCGGCAUUGUUGCGGAGACACCGUCAAAACCAGAACCCGACAGAAGCUUCACGAGAGACACUGUUGAGCGGGAGGCUCAGCUGACUGCCAGUACCGCCCGCUCAACCAGUGUAGACCUCGAGGCAGACACUCAGCUUUGUGGCAGUGCUGCUACCGCGUCUAGUGUAGAUCUCGAAGCAGAAACUCAGCUUAAUGUCACUGCAGCCCGCUCGAUCAGCGUAGACCUUGAGGCAGAGACUCAGCUGGACGGUGGCGUCGCGCACUCCACUAGUGUAGAUCUUGAGGCAGAGACUCAGCUAAAUGUCAGCCAUGCAGCCCGCUCAAAUAGUGUUGAUCUUGAGGCUGAGACUCAGCUGGGUGCUGGCGUCGCGCACUCCACCAGUGUAGAUCUUGAGGCAGAGACUCAGCUUAGUGUCAGUGCAGCCCGCUCGACCAGUGUUGAUCUUGAGGCAGAGACUCAGCUGGGUGCUGGCAUCGUGAAUUCAACCAGUGUUGAUCUGGAAGCGGAGGCCCAGCUAGUCGUAAGUGCUUCCCGCUCGGCGGCUGUGGAUCUCGAAGCAGAGACACAGCUGGGCCGACCGAACGUUGACGCUCGGGACGUCCCACGGGAAAUGGAAGUGGAAGACGCCAGACAUGUGGACCGCACAGAGAAGUGGCCACCGGAGAGAGAGGCUACCAGUGAUGACGAACUGGACGCACCAACUCAAGUGUACCCUGGGCGGAGCAAACAACUCUCGGAUGGGCCUGGUGCCUCGCGAAGACACGUUGACUCCAGGGAUUCAGAAAAUUGUGGUUUUCGCAAACCGAAAAUUCCCGGACUGGGUUCAACUGUAGUCGCUGGUGCUCGCAUGAGCUCUGCCGAAAAUAGCUUGAACGUUUCUGACGUGGAUUUAGAUGCCCCAACUCAGGUGUUCGAUACUGCGGAUGACGAAGACCAGGCUGACGAUAGCCUGGACCUGGAAGCAGCAACCCAGGUGUUCAGAGUUCCCAGUGAAGGCUAUAUGAAAGUUCCUGUUUCGAAUUCAAAGGAAGACGCUCAUAAGCGCAAGAAUCAUUCCGUGGAAAGUCCGAAUGUCAGCGGUGUAGACUUGGAUGCAGCCACCCAGGUGUUCAGGAUUCCCAGUGAAGAACACAUGGAUGUGAGUGAUAUCGAUUUAGAUGCAGAAACACAGGCAUUUAGUGCUCGUAAUAAGACGGUUUUGGACAAAAGCAGUGUUGAUUUGGAUGCUCCGACACAGGCAUACCAUGGCCAAGUUGACACAAGUCCAGAUAGAUCAGACAUAGAUCUAGGUGCGGCUACCCAGAUUUACAGAGCCCCUGGUGAGGAAAGUAUGAACGUUUCUGCCGUGGAUUUAGAAGGGGCCACGCAAGUCUUUAGACCCACAUCUAAACGCAGCUUGGACUCUUCUGAUGUUGAUUUAAAUGCGGCCACGCAGCUCUUUGUGGGUUCGGGUGGAAAAGGCCAGGCCCAGGACGUUGCAGAUACGGAAUCGGAUGAAGAUGAAGACUCACAAGCCGGCGGUGCUCGUGGUAAGGCGAUUUUGGACAGGAGCUGCGUUGACUUGGAUGCUCCGACACAGGCAUUCCAUGGCCAUGGCGACGCGAGUCCAACUGGAUCUGAUGACAUAGACCUAGGUGCGGCCACCCAGAUUUACAAAGCCCGUGGCGAGGAAAGCAUGGAUGUAUCUGCCGUAGAUUUAGAUGGCGCCACACAAGUCUUUGAACCCGCAUCUAAACGCAGCAAGAACGCUUCAAGGGUUGAUUUGGAUGCUGCCACUCAGCUGUUUGUGCAUCCCAGUGAAGAGAAUCUGAACGUUACAAAAGCGGACGAAGACACAGAUGUGGAUGCUGGUGAACACCUGAAUGAUACGCACAUCGACUUGGAUGCUGCCACCCAGGUUUUUAAAAUGCCCAGAAAAGAAAGAAGCGUAAAUGAGAAUGAUAACACAAAGGCAACUACCCAGAAUAGGGUAAACAAUGAAAAUCUCUCAAACGAGCCCGACAUUGACGAGGAUGCCAGCACCCAGAUCUUCAAUCCGAAGAGUGCUGCUACUCCAGGAACUGAUGAGAAGCCUCGUCAAGAAGAGAUAGCCUCCACGAGCUCUGAGCUAGCUUCGACACAUGCUGGAGGUCGACGCAACACGGUCGACGUGGACAUUGAAGCUGCCGUGGAUGUAUCGGAGUGCGGUGACGCUGCUAGCGGCGCGGAGGCGCACCGGCCCACUGAGGAUGAAGCGUCACGAGGCGUCGCCGUCACAGACGACAGCGAUACGGACAUGAGCGACGUGUCAACGGCGCAGACUGACUGCAGAGUUUCGAGCGAACGUGUUACGCCUGGGGCUGUCACAGCGAAACCCGCCGCUGAGACGAGCGAGGGGCUGGCGAGUGGUGAAGGUGCCGGAGCCGGCGCCGACUCGGACUCUGACUCUGAUCUGGAGCCGUCGCAGAGAGUCUCCUCGCCGGUGCUGAGUCCCCGUCAGCAGCCGGAGAGCCCUUCAGGCGUGGUGGAUGACCCAGAGGAUAUGAUCGCCACUCAGCGAAUGCCGUCUCCGGGAAGGAGGACUGGGGGUGGCGAGAAGCUGCCUCUCACACCGCAGCGAGCGGGUGGCGAGAAGCUGCCUCUCACACCGCAGCGAGCGGGUGGCGAGAAGCUGCCUCUCACACCGCAGCGAACCUGCAGCGGCCUUAGCACGGAGAGCGAGACGGACGACUACCGCAUAGAGCUUCCCAGCACGCAGGAACUACUGCAGGUGCUGGCUAUGAGCUCCUCCCAGUCAGCGCCGUCUCCGCCCGUCCAGGAGAUGCAGGAGGAGGAUUCCGAGUCUCCAGUGCGGUCUCCGUCCCUGCUGGAGGAGUCGCCGCCGCCGCUCGUACCGUCCGACACCAGCACCGUGCGAUCGGUAACCGAGGCUGACGCGGCGCGGCGGCUCUUUGCUGACUCCCCAUCCCAGCCCGAAGAGAGCCGCAGGGAUAGUCUUGAACGUGAAGUUAAGGAAGAAGACGAUUUGUUGGCAGACACCAACACUGUUGAGCAGCAGGGCCCCGAAGAACGCCGCAGGGUUAGUCCUGAACGUGAAGUUCAGGAAGAAGACGAUUUGUUGCCAGACACCGACACCGUUGAGCACCAGGGUAGGGACGGAGAGCAGACUGUUGGACCGGCUGGAGCCUCCACAUCGGCUGCGGCCUCCACCGAGGUUGCUGAGGACGAUGCUGACGGUGACCAAACGACUGACAUUGUUAUUGAUAUAGUCGAAGAUUCGCAGAGUCCGAGCAAAGCCGCACGUGCCGGGACGAGCACGGGAGUCCGGCCGACGGUCGUUGAUCUGUCCUCCCCUGAGAAACAGCUGCACGUGAUCAGUUCGCCUGUGAAGAGGCAGCUUGCAGGCAGGCAGGUCCGGGCAGCCGCCGGGCGCGGCAGAGGCAAACGGCGGGCCACCGAAGGAGCGGUGUCGGCGGGAACAUCAGGAGCCGGACAGACCGUAGAGGCGAUGGUCGGUCGGAGAACGUCCAGUCGGCGAGUGAAACCGCCGGAGAAGUUUUCACCGAGCAAGCCGGACUCUGGUGGGAAGCGCCGGCGCAGCGACACGCCGAACCUCGCUGACUCCAGCAGUAAGCGGCGCCGGGCGGCGGCGGCACCGGUCAGCAGAGGCGGGCGACGGCGGACUGAUCCGCUGCGGCAGGACGAGGGGGCCGCGACAGUCGGCCAGGAGGAGCCCGGCGGCGCCACGGACGGCGGCGAAGUCUGUCCCUCUGGAGCGUCCCUCGGCUCUGCGCCGACCGGGGAGCAGUCGGCGGCGGCCCCAGUGUCCCGCCGCAGCGGACGGCAGACUGCCGGUUCGCGGGCUCGCGGCCGCGGCCGCCGGGUCGCCGGUACGCCAGACCGCGUCACGGAACCCGGUUCACCGGCUCACAGCACCGAACCCGGUUCACCGGCCCGCCGCACCACACGGCGGGCCGCGGGUUCGUCGUCCCGUAGCACGGAACGACCGGCCGCCGAUUCACCUGCCCGCAGCACGGGACGCGGCUCACCAGUCCGCCGCACCGGGCUGCGAACCGCCGGUUCACCGGCUCGAACCACAGCUGAACCCGGUCCACCAGUCCGCCGGACAGCAUGGCGCACCGCUGGUUCGCCAGCUCGCAGUACAGGACACGGUUCACCAGCUCGAAGCACUGGACGGCGCACCACUGGUUCACCAGCUCGCAGCACUGUAUGCUGUGCACCGGCUCGCAGGACCGGACGUCGGGCCGCCGAUCCCCCGGCGGCUGAUCGCCAACAGCGGCCGUCGGCGGCCCGGCCGAUCAUCCCGGUCGUCAUCGACUCAGACAGCGCCUCAGAAAUCGAUCUCACGGCCUCCUCGCCCGAAACCGUCUCGUCAGCGGCGCAGAGCCGGGGUAACCGCCGGACCAGGGUCUCCCACAGACAGGCCCCCGCCGCGGCAGCAAAGCGGCCACGCACGGCGAGGAGUGCUGCCGCCGCUGCUGAGUCGUCGGCAGACGUGGCACACAACCGUCCGAAAAAGACAGCACGGGACUCACGAGCGGCCCCCUCUCAUUUAGUCGGUUCGCUCCGCGUCGAGUUCGGGCCGCGGCGUGACGCCCAGUAACCACCCUCGCGUCCUCUUCACCGGCUUCGAGCGCGACUCGGCCGACGAGCAGAUCGUCAAGUCGCUGGGGGGCACGGUGGUGGAGCGGCCGGCCGAAUGCACGGUGUUGGUCACGACAGGCGUGAAACGCACCAUCAAACUGAUGGCCUGUUUCGCCAGGGGGACUCCGAUUGUGACUCCCGCCUGGCUGACAAAGUCAAAACAAGCAAAGUGCUUUUUAGAUCCAUGGCAGUUUCUCGUAGAAGAUAAGGCGGCGGAGGCGAAGUUCGGUUUUUGUUUCGGUUUGAACCUGCGGAAGGCGAGCCGACGAGCCCAUCCGCUGCUGGAGGGCUGGUCGGUCUAUGUGACUCCGCAGGUUCGGCCGCCUCCCGAUCAGCUCAAAGAGGUGAUUGAGUGCGCCGGCGGCCUGUUUCUGCCGCGGCUGCCGCGCAGCUCGGCAGACCGUGUGGCGGUGAUCUCGUGCGGCGAGGACGCGCGCCACUGGCCGGCCGCGCGUCGGCUCCACCUGCCCGUGGUGUCGGCCGAGCUGCUGCUCACGGGCGUGCUUCACCAGCGGAUAGACGUGCGGCGGCACGCGCUCACCGGGUAAACCGCGCCGCCGACCUGCGCCCCGGGCCGGACCGAGGGAGGGACGAGACUCAUCGGGAUCAUUUGUUGCUGUGCAAACGCCCUCCAUUGUUAUCUCAGCGUGAACUUAGGUUGACGGCAGUUCAUCCAUAGAUAGGACCAGACACUGGCGUCGUCUGAUGCGGGUUAUAUGCGAAAUGCCUUAUGUUGCCAGCGGGCUUAUCAUUAUGAAGUGCGUCGAAUUGUGCGUGGAUUGCUGCUGCUGCUCGCCAUCUCGCUUUCACUGCACUAGGCUGUAUUGGGGUUGAGCUUCAUCAGUAUUUAUUCACAAGCGACGACAUAAUAUAGAUCUCAAACGUUUGAAA
rnacentral:misc_RNA from 1 species